rnacentral:tRNA from 1 species
GCCCAGAUGUUGAAAUAGGUAGACAAGUCAGACUUAAACUCUGAUGGUCAUUAUGACCGUGCGGGUUCGACUCCCGCUCUGGGUA